rnacentral:rRNA from 1 species
UAGGGAAUCUUCCACAAUGGACGCAAGUCUGAUGGAGCAACGCCGCGUGAAUGAAGAAGGUCUUCGGAUCGUAAAACUCUGUUGUUAGAGAAGAACAUGCAGGAGAGUAACUGUUCUUGUAUUGACGGUAUCUAACCAGAAAGCCACGGCUAACUACGUGCCAG